UUUGUGGGACUUUAUCUUACAAUAGCUGGAUGAGGCAACAGAGAGAGCCAGAGAAAGGAAACUGCCCAGGCUUUUCGAGGAUUGUGAUCGGUGUCUGGGAAGGGAAAUCCAAAUGAGAAGAAGUUUAGAGCGACGAGGAGGUUGUAUCUGUUUACACAACCACACUCUGUACACGAGCAUACCUGGGAGAUAUUGCAGAGUCCGUUCCAGACCACUGCAGUAAAGCUAAUGUCAUAAUAAAGCAAGUCCAGUGAA